GGAGGCUUGGGAACUGUAGCCGGUAGAUAUACGCCCCAGGCAGUUUUACGCCCCUGUUGUUCCUCAUGCGUCCAGUAGGGGGAGGCUGUAUGUUAGUAUAUGAGCCCAGUCAUAUAUAAGAACAGCAGACCAUAUCUAUAUGCAUGAUAGCAGCAGACCUUCUUGAAGCGAUACGUAUUGAGGUAUGAGCAAAUUGAUGUUAUCUACACUCAGAUGACUUCAAUUCUGGACGGCACACCUUCACACACCCACAGUGACCAGAUCAGAUUCAUUAUGGAUGUCCUUUUUCCAGAGUCCAUCAUCUGUGUUCUUGCUGUUGUCAAACGUGUGUCCAUCUUGGAGGCUGAGGAGAAAUUCCUGCGAGGGCCUGUCAUUGACGCAAGUGAGUGGGAUCACUUUGACAGCAGGAUAAAGAAACAAUUAAAGAAGAGUGGCAAGCCAUAGGAGAGUCAUCUACAGGAGUCAUGCUGUUAAGAAAUAACCAAGUCAUGGUGUUAAUAAAUAAAUUUUUUG